CGCCGCCCCGGCCCCGUCUGCGCACGCGCCCUAACGUUCGCAGACUUCCCGUUGUCAAGCGGGAGGGAGGAGGCGCCAGGGCGCGCGCUUGCCCGCGACCCAGCGGGAUCGAGCUCUUGCGCAUGCUCAAAGCCCGCGCUGCGUGGGACUCCACAGGGCCGGCGGAGAGCUUCCGUUAACAGGAGUUUGCGGUCAGCACACGGUUGUGAUGGGAAACGUGUGUAACAGCCGAAGUACACUGGACGAACGUUCGUGAUUCCCAAGGGCUACGAAAAGAGUCGCAAAAGCAGAGGAAACACUUUUGGAUGCUGACUAGCGCCCCAUGGGACUCCUGGGCGCGGAGGCCUUUUUGUCCCUUUUUUGUUUAUUUGGCUUUCCUGGUGGCUCAUACGGCAAGACUCCAGCCUCCAUGAUCUCUCACUUCCAAAAGGCAGCCGUCAACGUCAACAGUUAAGAGUAGUGUCUGACUCUGCAACCCAAUGGACUGCUGCCUACCAAGCUCCUCUGUCCAUGGGAUUCUCCAGGCAAGAGUACUGGAGUGAGUUGCCAUUUCCUUCUCCAGAGGAUCUUCCCAAGCCAGGGGUGGAACCCAGGUCUCCUGCAUUGCAGGCAGAUUGCUUUCUCCUGCACUGUAAAAGGCAGGAACAGUUCCUAAUCAAAGGAGGAACAGCGACGAAAUCACCACAGGCAGGAUUUAAGGACCAGCGAAGUUCACCAAGAUUAGGAGACGAAUAUUUUGGCUCGGACCUGUGCCUCCUGCGUCCUUCAUUGGCAGGCAGAUUCUUUGCCGCUGACCACCAGGGAAGCCCCGCGUCACUCCUGAUCAUGCACAAAGCUGUUUUCUUGGGGUCUGCUUUCCUCAAAACUGUUCACCACUUUCUGUACAACAACUUUAUUUUUUCCAAUCAAACAGUCAGCUGUAAGUCAGAGCGAUUUCCUUUUCCCUCGAUAAAAUUCAACUCCAUUCCACAUGCCAUCUUGACUGAUAACUUACACCCUGGUUUCCUAUUGUUUGCUGAAAAUUUUUUAUUUCUGUUAGCUUUAAUCACAUACUUAAAUUAGAAUCCUCAUCUCUUAAAACCUUCAUUUCCUGUGAAAACUAAGAAGUAAGCAAUUAAUGUCCUCUGCAUUAGUAUUUUGGAGACUAGUAACAAAUACCGUUAUAAUUUCUAAAAAAAAAAAAAAAAAUGCUUUCAGAUUGAGAACAUCGCAGGGCGGCACCAAACACAUUCAUUAAUAGUUUUAAAUAUCUUUAGUUUCUCUGUAAAAGUAAGUCAA